rnacentral:lncRNA from 1 species
UCAGUUCCCUUUUUGGUGUCUAUAUUUAACUAGCAAACUACAAAAAGUAUUAUACCAAUUAACUAAUUUUAGGAAAGGGAUUUUGUAUAACAUGCCUUUUUAUCUGACAUUGGAAUAGGGGGUUUUCAUAUGUUAUUGUGGUGGGAAAUUGAAGCGUAUCCCUUCAUGCCUCAAAGCAUUAUUUUUAUUUUAAAUAUUUUCAAUGAAAUAUUCCUAAGACACAUUAAAUGAGACUCCCCCAAAGAUUUUUACCUCAUCAGUAUUAGUGUGUGCAUUUUGUGUUACAUCCUUUUCUUCCUAUAGAAGACAUUUCCCCCCAUUACUUUUGACAUUUACAUUUCAUUCCAAAUAGUCAAAAUUACUAUAUAUAAUUUCUACAUAAAUGACAUAAUUAUUAUUAUUGGUAUUUUCACCAACAAGUCUAUGUUUACUAGUAUGUGGAGGCUAAAACUGUUUCCAAGUGGGAAAUAUUAAUCAAAAGAAAGUCAAAUCUCGCUAUUUUCCAGGUCUGCCCUGUUUGCAAAGUUUCCCCAUUAUGCAUGAAUGCGUUUUAAGUUUUCAAAAUAUUUGCAAACCAAAAUGGUCCUUGCAAACUCUUCUGUAGUCUUUCUUAUCAUCAUGCUACUUUCUGAAGCCAUUGGACACCAGCUGUAAUAAGGAUGAUAUUCUCUUUCAACAUCAGUGUUCAACUUUUUACUUGGCAUCUUUUUCUUGAGUUGGGUGUUCUAAUAGAGUUUGAUUUGAAAGUCAAGUGGUUCUGGGAUCGCUCUAAACCUGGGAAGAACUGUGAUUCAGACUCCUCCAGUCCUGGAGACCAUAUGUGGUCUUUAAAAAUGUCCAAACAAGAAUAGGAUGCCAGGGGAGCCGUCCGUCUAACGGGGCCAGCGGGCAGCAGAGUCCUCCUCAGGAGUCAGGAGCCUUUCUCCUCUUGCAAGGAUGUCCCGCAAUCUCUCAUAUGUUCAUCUCCCUGAGAACUUGACAGGGUCGUGAGACAGGGAUAUUUUAUACUUGUUCCUUGUUCUCCAAGUCCUCAAUUGCCCAGGCUGGAGGGCAGUGGUGCAAUCUUGGCUCACUGCAACCUCCGCCUCCCGGGUUCAAGCAAAUCUCAUGCCUCAGCCUCC